UAAAACUACCCCGGAUGGAGGAUUUGAACCGAUCAGAGGUUCGACGACCGAGCACAGCGAGGGCGAGCAGCUUCAGCUGACCCCGCAGGGGCGAGGCCUGGAAGGCCGAGUAAUCCUCCAUCCCCAGCCA
rnacentral:sRNA from 1 species